UACGUAGGGAGCAAGCGUUGUUCGGAGUUACUGGGCGUAAAGGGUGCGUAGGCGGCUCUGUAAGUCUGGUGUGAAAUCUCCCGGCUUAACUGGGAGGGUGCGCUAUAGACGGCGGGGCUCGAGUGUGGGAGAGGAAAGUGGAAUUCCUGGUGUAGCGGUGAAAUGCGUAGAUAUCAGGAGGAACACCGGUGGUGUAAACGGCUUUCUGGACCAUAACUGACGCUGAGGCACGAAAGCGUGGGUAGCAAACAGG
rnacentral:rRNA from 1 species